rnacentral:rRNA from 13 species
GACACGACUCUCGGCAAUGGAUAUCUCGGCUCUCGCAUCGAUGAAGAGCGCAGCGAAAUGCGAUACUUGGUGUGAAUUG